UGACAGCCGAGGAUGGGACGCUCGUGUUUGGCUACCUGUCUGAAGAUGACAUCCUGGAUCAGGUAAACCCCUUCGUGCAGUUGAUCAGUGGGGUGGUGUGGCUGCUGAGAAACAGUGAGAUCUACAUCAAUGAGAGCAUCCAGGCAGAAUGUGACGAAACACAGAAGACCGGAAAAUUCCAGUACUUUGUGGACGUGAUAUCUGCCCGUACGGCAGUGGGUCACG